UGCCAGUCAUGUGCAAGUACGGAAGGUAGAAAUAAGUGUCCAGCUAUAUGUGGUGGUUUACCUGUUAAAAGGUCAAGAAGUCAAAACAUGGAUACUUUUGAGAGAGAUCAGCUUAUGCAAAGAGAACACCAGUGCGUCCUUGAUAAUCUCUUUCUUCUGAUGUCAGAGGAGGAACAAGCCAGUAUUAUUGGGAAGUUGAUGGAAUAUCUUUGAUCAUGGAUCUUCGAUAAUAACGACUGAGCAGCUGUACUUCUGCGAGAAAAACCACCUUGAUCUGUUUUAUUAAUCAAAUGAAAUUUUUAUUUAGUUGGGUACUCCUGUCUGAAAAUACUUAUAUCUUAAUAUAAAGAGUAAAAUUCAACUAGUAAAUCGCUGAUAAUUUCAUCAAAAUCUGA